ACUCAAAUGAAUUGACGGGGGCCCGCACAAGCGGUGGAGCAUGUGGUUUAAUUCGAUGCAACGCGAAGAACCUUACCUACCCUUGACAUCCUAAGAAUCCUGCAGAGAUGUGGGAGUGCCGCAAGGAACUUAGAGACAGGUGCUGCAUGGCUGUCGUCAGCUCGUGUUGUGAGAUGUUGGGUUAAGUCCCGUAACGAGCGCAACCCUUAUCCUUAGUUGCCAACACGUAAUGGUGGGGACUCUAAGGAGACUGCUGGUGAAGAACCGGAGGAAGGCGGGGACGACGUCAAGUCAUCAUGGCCUUUAUGGGUAGGGCUACACACGUGCUACAAUGGGGUAUACAGAGGGUUGCGAAGCGGUGACGUGAAGCCAAUCUCAGAAAGUACCUCGUAGUCCAGAUUGAAGUCUGCAACUCGACUUCAUGAAGUCGGAAUCGCUAGUAAUCGCGAAUCAGAACGUCGCGGUGAAUACGUUCCCGGGCCUUGUACACACCGCCCGU
rnacentral:rRNA from 1 species